ACGCAACAGCUCCCCCUGGUUGAUGAACGUCUUCCGGUCCCACAACCCUUUUCUGGACGAAGAGUAAGGACGGUACCCCCAGACUAAGCCUCGUCUAACUAUGUGCCAGCAGCCACGGCAAUACUGUCGAGGCCAGCGUUAUCCGGAUUUACUGGGCCUAAAUAGCGUUGAGGCGGCUUCGUAAGUUGGACGUGAAACCUAUUGGCUUAACUGGUAGAGGCUGCUCCAUACUGCGGGGCUUGAAGACUGCACAGGUGGGUGUAAUUUCCGGUGUAAUGGUGAAAUGCGCAGAUGUCGGAACGUACACCAGUGGUAAAAGCAGCACCCUGGCCUGCUCCUGACGCUCACCGCGAAAGCUAUGGUAGCGAACGGGAUUAGAAACCCCGGUAGUCCUCGCCGUACACGAUGGAUCCUAGGUGUAUGAGGUUAAAAUUCCUUCUGUGCCGGAGUUAACGCGUUAUGUAUCCUGCUUGAGGAGUACGGUCGCAAGGGUCAAACUCAAAGGAAUUGACGGGGGCCCGCACAAGCAGCGGAGCGUGUGGUUUAAUUUGAUGCAACGCGAAGAACCUUACCAGGGCUUGACAUGUAGGUAGUAGCGAAGCGAAAGCGGAACGAUCCUUCGGGAAGCCUACACAGGUGCUGCAUGGCUGUUGUCAGCUCGUACCAUGAGGUGUUAGGUUAAGUCCUGUAAUGAGCGCAACCCCGGCCGUUAGUUACAAGUUUCUAACGGGACUGCCCGGCAAAACUGGGAGGAAGGUGGGGAUGACGUCAAGUCAGCAUGGCCUUUAUGUCCUGGGCUACACACCCGCUACAAUGGCCGGUUCAAUGGGUUGCCAAGCCGCGAGGCGGAGCCAAUCCUUUAAAGCCGGUCUCAGUUCGGAUUGUAGGAUGCAACCUGCCUGCAUGAAGUCGGAGUUGCUAGUAACCGCAGGUCAGCCACAUCGCGGUGAAUACGUUUCCGGGCCUUGCACACCCCGCCCGUCACGUCAUGGAAGCUGGUAACACCUGAAGCCGGUGAGCUACCC
rnacentral:rRNA from 1 species